rnacentral:misc_RNA from 1 species
ACGAUGCGCCAGCUCAACGGAACGAGUGCUUUAUGCUCAUCGCUUCACCAGCCACCACCCCGACAGAGACCGCCACCGUCAAGCAUGUUGGGUGCACCGAAUCCGGCAGCAGGCGAAUUCAGACGCCGUCUUGCACGGCUUCAGGGGUGAAGGGCGGACUAGGCAGCAGAGGCACUAACGGGCCGAAGAUCUUGGCAGCCCUCUCCGCGUCGAGGGGCAGCACCAGUCGCAAGAACACUCAAAAAACUCGGAAGACAGGGCUGCCCGUCGGGUGGCCGGUGGAGGGACAAGACAAUGAGGUGCUCACAGGGGCGGAAGCUUGCCACGCGGGAAGACGACACGCCACGGGGCUGUAUUUUCUUCUGCUAGAGUGCAUGCCAACGCAGCUGUGUUGCGCGUGCACACGGACUGGCAGCUUGUCGGCUUGGUUGCCCUGAUCAUGUGCAUACGAUGCGCACGACGAGAUUGCAUCCAGCCGACACACCGCCUUCAGGGCCUUCUGGGUGUAGACGUGGCAAGAGCGAUCCUUCGCUAUCAGAUUCAGGGGAGUCCCUCACUGCCACGCAGUUCUUCCAGACUGCGAUCCUCGGGCUAGAACGCACGGGGACGCUGGCUAUGGAGGGAGGUGAGUUCGAGGCCCCAGUGCCACAGAAGAAGUGUGCCGAACGAGACGUGGAUAAGAGGAACGUGUGCGAGUGCGGUGGACAGCGCGAGCGAGUCGCUAGGCGACGCGUGACCAGAAGGAGGGAGUGCAUGUGUUUAUUCUCUCUCGUCCAGCUUCAGCACGCGUGGCCACGGAGGAGGCGUGCAAAGGCGAAACGGAGACUCUUCUCUCUGAUUCCCUCCCGAUUCAGGCGACUG